UGAGUGUUUAUUUGCUCAGUAGAAAGCCA
rnacentral:piRNA from 1 species